AUUGAACGCUGGCGGCAUGCUUUACACAUGCAAGUCGAACGGCAGCACGGGAGCUUGCUCCUGGUGGCGAGUGGCGAACGGGUGAGUAAUGCAUCGGAACGUGCCCUGAAGUGGGGGAUAACGUAGCGAAAGUUACGCUAAUACCGCAUAUUCUGUGAGCAGGAAAGCAGGGGAUCUUCGGACCUUGCGCUUUUGGAGCGGCCGAUGUCGGAUUAGCUAGUUGGUGGGGUAAAGGCCCACCAAGGCGACGAUCCGUAGCGGGUCUGAGAGGAUGAUCCGCCACACUGGAACUGAGACACGGUCCAGACUCCUACGGGAGGCAGCAGUGGGGAAUUUUGGACAAUGGGCGCAAGCCUGAUCCAGCCAUGCCGCGUGAGUGAAGAAGGCC
rnacentral:rRNA from 1 species